rfam:Triticum aestivum genome assembly, contig: Triticum_aestivum_CS42_TGACv1_scaffold_578710_7BL
CUUAUACUCCCUCCGUCCAGAAAUAUUGCCGCACAAAUAGAUAAAAUUAGAUGUAUCUAGAACUAAAAUACGUCUAGAUACAUCCAUUUUUCCGACAAGUAUUUUUGGACGGAGGAAGUACGUA